rnacentral:tRNA from 1 species
CCCUCUAAGAUGUUAUGGCAGCAUGCCGGACUCUUAAUCCGUGACGUCCGAGUUCAAAUCUCGGUGGAGGGACCA